AAAAAAGCCAGAGCAUGUUUUCCUCCCAUCCCCCAAUAUAAUGUGGAGUAGCCAUCCUUCAGCGCGCUUUUGGAGGAGGGUCUGGCAAAGUGAGACUAUUGUUGUUACUACUACUACAGUUUAUGGUCAUUAUACAGCAGGAUUCACUUCAAAACUGAAGCUCAGUAUGGAUCGGUACGACUUAACUUCAAACUUGGAACCUGUAGUCUGAGUGACCUGAUGCUCAGUCCUGAAGCUGUUCCUGAACUUAACAGACUCUCCUCACAGUACGAAAAACCAUCAGAGGAGAAACAGCGUCAAGAAACUCAGUAUCCUCAGAAAGAUGCAUCAGGAUGACCAUUGACCUGAGAGCUUACAACAGUAUACAAGAAACCCUUUACUCUGGAGGACAUGAUGUGGACAGUUUAAUACAAGUUUUAAAAAAAUUCUAUUUCACUGACUAUAAAUAAAGGGAUUUAUUUUUUAA